rnacentral:rRNA from 1 species
AGUCGAGCGGUAGAGAGAAGCUUGCUUCUCUUGAGAGCGGCGGACGGGUGAGUAAUGCCUAGGAAUCUGCCUGGUAGUGGGGGAUAACGUUCGGAAACGGACGCUAAUACCGCAUACGUCCUACGGGAGAAAGCAGGGGACCUUCGGGCCUUGCGCUAUCAGAUGAGCCUAGGUCGGAUUAGCUAGUUGGUGAGGUAAUGGCUCACCAAGGCGACGAUCCGUAACUGGUCUGAGAGGAUGAUCAGUCACACUGGAACUGAGACACGGUCCAGACUCCUACGGGAGGCAGCAGUGGGGAAUAUUGGACAAUGGGCGAAAGCCUGAUCCAGCCAUGCCGCGUGUGUGAAGAAGGUCUUCGGAUUGUAAAGCACUUUAAGUUGGGAGGAAGAGCAGUUACCUAAUACGUGAUUGUUUUGACGUUACCGACAGAAUAAGCACCGGCUAACUCUGUGCCAGCAGCCGCGGUAAUACAGAGGGUGCAAGCGUUAAUCGGAAUUACUGGGCGUAAAGCGCGCGUAGGUGGUUUGUUAAGUUGGAUGUGAAAUCCCCGGGCUCAACCUGGGAACUGCAUUCAAUACUGACUGACUAGAGUGUGGUAGAGGGGGGUGAAAUUUCCUGUGUAGCGGUGAAAUGCGUA